UCAGGGGAUUCCAUAGCGAGAAGAACCACCGGUAUCCAGGAGCGUCAGAGGACUGCUGUCAGCAGAGGACGUUUGCAGCCAUAAUCUCCUGCUGUUCUGAUCAACUGUGUUGCAGCUUCAAGCGCUUGACCAAAAACAGGGUUCUGCAUCAAAAGUAAAA